CUAUUAAAUUUUUAAUGCCAUUUUGCACCAGUUAUUUAUGUGAUAAGUGAUUUCCAACAAUGUUAUGUUUAAAAAACAAAUAUAGAACAAAAUUAAUACUUCAGUCUAAUUUAUGCUUAAAACUAAGUAACAUAGAGCCUGACGUUAAAAAAUUGUUUUGCAAAGCACGAUUGAAGUUCUCAUUAAUUUUAAUUAAAAAAUAUUGUUUUUAUAUAGUUUUUUAUGUAAUAAUUUUGGAAAUGCUGUAAUAAUAAUAGAUAUUUUGUUUCUAAAUAAACUAAAUCAACUUUUAUUAUGGAAAUUAUAUUUUGGUUACCAAAAAAUUAAAUAUUUUUUAUUUGCCUAUCUAUUCUUUAUUUUGAUGCAGAAAUUUAUCAUCAAUGGUGGUAGUACAAAGAAAUUUUGAUACUUUUUGGGUGGUACAUGGAACCAAAAGGUUGAGAACCACUGCACUAUAGUUAUAGGUGGUCUAUGGUGAAUGUUAGAAUAAUUCAUCACUGUUUAGUUACAUCCAGCAGAAAAACAAAGCAAGAAAGCAGAACUUAUUGCAGAUAUAAGCAACCUACAAAAGGCAUUGAAAUGCCUUGCUCCUUACUAUCCAAUAGGAUGGAAAGUGGCAUAAAAUUUAAUAAGAAAAAGAUAUUUAAGGAUUUUUGGAAUAUCCUAUAUAUAGCAAGGA
rnacentral:lncRNA from 1 species